ensembl:lncRNA
AUAUAUAUGUAUAUAUAUAUAUAUAAUCUAUAUCUCCUGAAUUAGUUCAUGGAGACUAAAUCCUCUCUGGCAUGUUGCUAUAGUUCAAGUUCUAGCAUCAUUCUUUUGAAAUGUGUGUACAUUUAUGUAUAUUAUGUACACCCAUGGGUUCAUAUACACAUACAUAGGUGUAUAUUAGUUUCUAUAAAACGAUAAGUAUAAAUGUCAACAUAAUAUGAAUAUUUACAGCUAACAAUGCUGUAAAUGUGAAUCUUUUAAUUAUUCAUGUAAACAGCUUGUUAGGCGUACUAUUAUUUGUGGACUAAGUGAAUGUAACAUAGUCGUGUGACUCCAAACAUUGAUUCCUCUAAACGGGUUUAAACAAAACGAGAAAAAGUGUUUGUAAAUGUCUAUGAACUAAUAUUCUGUUUUCUGUGAAGUUCAUGGACCAACGGAAUGAAACUAACAGGAGAUAUAAAGUUAAGCUGUUCAUCACAUGACAUGUAAUCACCAGCACGUUGGUGCAGAUACGAGUAAAUGCUCUUUAUAUAUAUAAACACUUGGCUGCCUCUCGACGGGAGCUCAACUCCGUUUAAAACAAACUCAAAAGAUCUUUAAGAAGAAACAGAGCCAAUCUGUCGCCAACAUGACUAAUCCUGCUGGCAGAGGCUCUGCGCGGUUACCACGGUUACCACGGCAACGAGGGGGGUGUGCCAUCCACGACGCGGUACGAAGGGCUGCAGGAGGAUGCGUUUACCGUCGGCCCAUCCGUGUCAAUAAGAGGAAUACUGAGCUGGAGUCAUCGCAGCCGUAGGGUCACAGCAGCGGCACAUGUUUGUAGUCGUCUCUAAUCAACUAAUGACUUCAUUAAUCCGCUUAAGCUCCUCUUUUGUGGAACCAGCUUCCACUUUCUGUCCAGGGGGCAGAUUCGGUCAGCUCAUCUAAGAUAAAGCUUAAGACUUUCCUCUUUGAUAUGGCUUAUAGUUAGGGCUGGCUCAGGUUAGUCUGGACCAGCCCUUAGUUAAGCUGCUGUAGGCUUAGACUCACAGGUUUCCAUGCAUCAUGGUUCUAUCUGGAUCCUGUUCCUGCCUCCUGCCGUGGCCCUGCUGACACCUGCUGCUGCCAUCAUCAGUAUUAUUACUAUUUUAAAUAUGAAUCAUAUUACUAUUACUGUCCACAUAAACCACCAUUUCCUAAAGGCGUGUGCUUUUCCUCCCCACAGGCUUCUGUGGAUGGUGGUUCUAUGUGAUGGUGGUUCUAUGAGGUGGGGGUUCUAUCUGAUGGUGGUUCUAUGGGAUGGUGGUUCUAUCUGAUGGUGGUUCUAUGAGGUGGUGGUUCUAUCUGAUGGUGGUUCUAUGAGGUGGUCGUUCUAUGUGAUGGUGGUUCUAUGAGGUGGUCGUUCUAUGUGAUGGUGGUUCUAUGAGGUGGGGUUCUAUCUGAUGGUGGUUCUAUGAGGUGGUCGUUCUAUGUGAUGGUUCUAUGAGGUGGUCGUUCUAUGUGAUGGUGGUUCUAUGAGGUGGUCGUUCUAUGUGAUGGUGGUUCUAUGAGGUGGGGGUUCUAUCUGAUGGUGGUUCUAUGAGGUGGUCGUUCUAUCUGAUGGUGGUUCUAUGAGGUGGUGGUUCUAUGGGAUGGUGGUUCUAUCUGAUGGUGGUUCUAUGUGAUGGUGGUUCUCUCUGAUGGUGGUUCUAUGUGAUGGUGGUUCUAUGUGAUGGUGGUGGUCCCUGCAGUGGUCCUGCAGUACACCUGCUCACUACUCCCAUUAUUUGAAUCAUCUCUGUCAUAUGAAUUGAAUGUAUCGUUCAUCUUCCACAUUGUUCAUUCUGUCCUCAUGACAUCAUCGUAGUCUGUCCAUCAGGAGACGGAUCCUCCUCUGACGUUCUCACUGAGGGUUCUUCCCUUUUCUCCCCAUGGAAGGGUUUCAUUGUUUGGGGAGUUUUUCCUGUGAGGGUAUCUGGACAGAGGAUGUCACAUGUGUACAGACUAAUACCCACUGAGGCAAAUUUGUAAUUUGCAAUUUUAGCUCUACAAAAUAAAAUAAAUUGAAUUGAAUUCAUUAUUUUCUAAUUGAUUUGUGACUUGGUCAACGUUUCUCUUAUAUCAUAAUCAAUUAGAUAUUUUUAUAGCUCAACAAUCCAAAAUCCCACAUUUCCCUUAGAGGGAUUUUAGAAUCUGUUUCAGAACAUAGCGACAUGAUGGAGCCUCACGUCUCUCAUCCGAUCUCCUAUAAUAAUCUACAAUAAUACAGGAGAACUCUAUUGGACCGAGCGGAUGUGUUUUAGUGAUAAACCACACAGGUGACCUCAGCAGGUCGCAGGUCUGCCGUGCGUUCAUGGUCCUCUUGAUUGUUCACCCUACAGAUGACUUGUUAGGCCACAAUUAGGCCUGACCUCUGACCUCACCUGCCACCAGAGUGCCAUUCAGGUUCCAUUUAAAAUCAUUUAAAUGCCUUUUUAGUAAUACACCAAUCAUAUAAUAAUACAUACGUCGAGGUUCAAGGAGAAGAGGUUUACAUUACGUUUCCAUGAAAUAUGAGAUCAUUCUGUCAACACAGUUGACAGAAUGAUCCAUAAAGAAGAAAACCCGUCUGUCUUCCCGCAGCCUGACCCUGCUCCGGUGCGCUCUGUUAAUGGGCCCUGAACGCCUCACGGGGCCCUCUCUUUGUCCCCUCCAUCUCACCGCCUCCGUCUCUGCAGAGAAACACCGACGCUGAGAGCACGCAUUAGUCCACAGGAAGCGCCAGCUGGUCACUAAUGUAUGACCCGCCGACCUGUAAUGGAGGUCUGUUUGAUACGCGCACGGGGGCCGCUCUCCAAUCACAGCCCAUUAGACACGAGGGUGCCACACGAAAAUGUAGUACUGCAUCAGUACCUGCAGAAAGCUGUAUGUUGAGGGCUCUUAUUGUGAAAGGACAAAGUGGAUCCGGUCUGCCCGAGGUAGAAGAGAUAAAGAUAAUGUUUCUUUAUACGGACUGAGAGGGAACUUCUAGUUCGUUUUGGUGAAGCUUCAUCUUUAAAAUCUGCAUCCUCUGUAGUGACCAGCAGGGGGCGACUCCUCUGCUCCCAUAGACGUCUAUGAGGAAAUGACUCUACUUCUCUGUAGUGACCAGCAGGGGGCGACUCCUCUGCUCCCAUAGACGUCUAUGAGGAAAUGACUCUACUUCUCUGUAGUGACCAGCAGGGGGCGACUCC